UACGUAGGGUGCAAGCGUUAAUCGGAAUUACUGGGCGUAAAGCGUGCGCAGGCGGUUUUGUAAGUUUGUCGUGAAAUCCCCGGGCUCAACCUGGGAAUGGCGAUGAAGACUGCAAGGCUAGAGUUUGGCAGAGGGGGGUAGAAUUCCACGUGUAGCAGUGAAAUGCGUAGAUAUGUGGAGGAACACCGAUGGCGAAGGCAGCCCCCUGGGUCAAAAACUGACGCUCAUGCACGAAAAGCGUGGGGGAGCAAACAGG
rnacentral:rRNA from 1 species